rnacentral:rRNA from 1 species
CCCUUAGACGUUCUGGGCCGCACGCGCGCUACACUGACCAGUGCAACAAGCAUCCGUCCUUGGCCGACAGGCCCGGGCAAUCUUUGAACGCUGGUCGUGAUGGGGAUAGACUUUUGCAAUUUUUGGUCUUCAACGAGGAAUUCCUAGUAAACGCAAGUCAUCAACUUGCAUUGAUUACGUCCCUGCCCUUUGUACACACCGCCCGUCGCACCUACCGAUUGAGUGCUUCGGUGAAUAACUCGGACUGUAGCAGUUCGCAGUUCCUGCGUCUGCCGCGGAAAGUUUAGUGAACCUCAGCACUUAGAGGAAGGAGAAGUCGUAACA